GACGUAGGGCGCGAGCGUUGUCCGGAUUUAUUGGGCGUAAAGAGCUCGUAGGCGGCCUGUUAAGUCGAACGUGAAAUCCCCGGGCUCAACCCGGGAACUGCGUCCGAUACUGGCAGGCUUGAAUCCGGGAGAGGGAUGCGGAAUUCCAGGUGUAGCGGUGAAAUGCGUAGAUAUCUGGAGGAACACCGGUGGCGAAGGCGGCAUCCUGGACCGGCAUUGACGCUGAGGCGCGAAAGCCAGGGGAGCAAACGGG
rnacentral:rRNA from 1 species